rnacentral:tRNA from 1 species
CAUUGGGUGGCUGAAAGCAAGCACUGGUCUCUUAAACCAUUUUAUAGUAAGUAGCAAUUACUCCCAAUG